GAUGAAGAACGUAGCGAAAUGCGAUAAGUAAUGUGAAUUGCAGAAUUCAGUGAAUCAUCGAAUCUUUGAACGCACCUUGCACCCUUUGGCUAUUCCGAAGGGUAUGCCUGUUUGAGUAUCAUGAACACCUCAACUCUCAUGGUUUGCCAUGAUGAGCUUGGACUUUGGGGGUCUUGCUGGCCUGUGGUCAGCUCCUCUCAAAUGGAUUAGCUUGCCAGUGUUUGGUGGCAUCACAGGUGUGAUAACUAUCUACGCUUGUGGUUUUCCACCAGGUAACCUUCAGCAAUGGGGGUUCGCUGGGGCUCAUAAAUGUCUCUCCUCAGCGAGGACAGCUCUUUGAACGUUUGAUCUCAAAUCAGGUAGGACUACCCGCUGAACUUAAGCAUAUCAAUAAGGGAGGA
rnacentral:misc_RNA from 1 species